GUUUCAACAUCAAAUAUGUUUCUGUAAGGCCAGAUUCUUGGGCAAAGUUGUUUUAGCGAUCUGGUUGCAACUAAGCUAAAAGUAGACAUUUGACACAGUUUUGGACACUAAGAUAUAAACAACUCACUGGAUUGCCAUUUGCCAGCUGACCUGUGACACAGCAGCAGUGUAUUACAUUUUCAAUGAGCAGUCUGUCUGGAGCUGCUAGUGGGAGAAACUGCUUCCUGGUUUCUAGGUUCUUUGCUCUGGGGUAGUUUAAGAUAAAUAUGGUAUCUGCCUCUACAUCAGUAUUAAGGGGAGGCAGAUGAUGAAUAAAUGAACAAAAAAUAUAAUAAUGGAUAUGUAUUUAUAAGUGCUAUGAAGAGAAGAAAUCCAAGCAAGAAGAGAGUGAAAUGAGGGUCUCACUGGGUUUCCCAAGAACUGGAGUGUGGUGGUUCACUGCAGACUCAAUCUUCCCAGCUCAAGUGAUCUUCCCACUUCAGCCUCCCUUGUUGUUGGGACUACAGUCACGUGCCACCACACUAGGCUAAUCCAGGUAAUAUUUUUUUUUGGUGAGGGGGUGGGAACAGAGUUUUGCCAUGUUGCCCAGGCUGGUCUCAAACUCCUGGGCUCAAGAUAUCUGCCUGCCUUGGCCUCCCACAGUGCUGGGAUUAUAGGUGUGAGCCACCCCUCCUGGCCCAGGGUUAUGUUCUUAAUUGAAAUAAUGAAGUAAAGAGAUUAGAGAUUGUGAUUUGAGAUUGUCUGCAUCUUAGAAAUUAUUAUGAAAUUUUGAUAUUGGGGAAAAUUUCUAAUUUGUGUAAGUCUGAUUUGAAAAUUUGAUUGAGUGUAUACCUUACUUUUUUUAAAAAAAUAUGCUGUUUAAAUUUUAAGUUUAUGUCUGGGUUGCUUUAGCUACUCCCCAUAACUUUUGGUAGGUUAGGUUAUUACUGUCACUUAGUUAUUGUAUAUUUAACGUUCCUUGUGAUUUUCUCUUUGAUCCUUGGGUUACUUAGUAAGUUGUAUGCUUUUAAAAUUUCAAAUAUCUUCUUAUUGAUUUCUAAGUAAAUGCCAUGUGGCCAGUAAACAUGUUCUAGAUGACUUUGAUCUCUUAAAAUAAAUAGAAUAGGCCAGGCACCGUGGCUCACGCCUGUAAUCCCAGCACUUUAGGAGGCUGAGACGUGCUGAUCAGAAGGUCAGGAGAUCAAGACCAUCCUGGCUAACACAGUGAAACGCCAUCUCUACUAAAAAUACAAAAAAUUAGCCGGGUGAGGUGGUGGGUACCUGUAGUCCCAGCUGCUCAGGAGGCUAAGGCAGGAGAACGGCAUGAACCCCGGGGGACGGAACCUGCCGUGAGCCGAGAUUGUGCCACUGCACUCCAACCUGGGCGACAGCGAGACUCUGUCUCAAAAAAAAAAAAAAAAAAAAAAAAUUAGCCAGGCAUGGUGUCAGGCGCCUUUAGUCCCAGCUACUCAGGAGGUUGAGGCAGGAGAAUGGCGUGACCCAGGAGGCAGAGCUUGCAGUGAGCUGAGAUCGAGCCACUGCACUCCAGCCUGGGCAACUGAGUGAGACUCUGUCUCAAAAUAAAUAAAUAAAUAAAAAAUAAACAGAAUAUUGUUUUAUGGCCCAGCAUAUAAUCAAUAUUGGUCAGUGUUACAUGCAUACAUGAGGACUUUCUCUGCUGCUAUUUGGUUCAUUAUUCUCUAAACAUCCAUUAGAUCAACUUAUUAAUAGUAUUGUUCAAUUAUAUAUUCCUGAUGAUAUUUUAUCUACUUGUUAGUUUCCAACUAUAGUUGUGAAUUUUUCUAUUUUUAACUUUAUUUCUGCCAAUUUUUACUCUAAGUAGUUAGACACUUUGUUUUCGGUGUCACUGAUUUAACACUAUUGUUAUAAUUGUUAAUAUUUUAUUAUUAUAAAUAUUGCUAUUAUUGUUAUUAGGUGCUAUUACAUACUUACACCUAAAAACAAUGUAAUACAACCAUAUUAGAAAAUUUUGAAGAUAUUAAUGACUUGCUUAAAAAAUAGCAAUAGAAUGUCUGAAAUGACCAAAAUACUUUUUUAAAGAGGAUAAGUGUUCACAACAAAAGCAGGCAAUUUACUUAAAGUUCCUGUUAGUGCAGUUCAAAGUUUGUUUUGAUAAGCUUUAUUUUUUUAAUUCUCAAAAACUUGCACUUUAAGCUUAGAGUUAUAAAAUUAGGCUAAGAAGGUUAGAAUAGUCAGAAAUUCAAGAACAAAUACAAAUAAAAUACAUUGAAUGUUAAAAGAAAAGAAGAAUCCAGAGGUCUGCUAGUGUUACCCUAUAAGCAGGCAUAUGAGCAUACUCAAGUUAAAAAUAAUGUAGUAAUCUGAUCAAGAUCUCAAAAAAUAGAAUUUGACAGAUAGGUUUGGUCUCCAGAGCUAGUGAUCAUUUGUCAGAAGCAUGCCACACAAAUAAAGAUAGACUGCAGUAUUUUAGAGGAGAUUACACUUCAUCUUCCAGUUUUUAAAUGAUUUUGUUUUUACAUAAGGCAACAGACAAAGAACACUGAAUGAUCACUAGCAUUAAAUAAUAACCAGUGACCCACAUUACAUAUAUUGAUUAGCUAACCCUUUCUAGAUGUUGGUGUUCUUAAACUUGUCAAUAGCUCUUCACAAUUAAAAAUAACAUUGAGUGGGAAAGCACCAUUUAUCAUCUGUCUGGUCAAAGACAACCCAACUUAACUUAGUGGAUUAUAGAUUUGGAAUAGAUCAUUCAGGAAAAGAUCUGAAGAUAUCAAUGGGUAUUAAUUGGGGGGAAAGUUAUUGUUAUAUUAUUUCACAAUACAGAAAUGUGUGCAAAUAAUAAAAGUGCAGCAGUAUUAAUUUUCCCAAAAUAAGACACCUGUGAAACUACUGCCUCAAUCAAUAAAUAUUACAUUACCAGCAUCAAGAAGCCUCUUCUUGCUUCUUCCUAGUCAUUAACCUUCAAGGUAACCACUAUUCUGAUAUCUAACAUCUUGGUAGAUAUAUUAAUAUCAUAUUAAAACAUGUCACACAUGAAAUAAAAAUUACCACAUUGAUUUAAAGAUGCUCUGAUAAUUUCUAUAACAGCUAUCAUUUAAAAAUUACAAAUACUAUAAGUGAAUUGCAAAUUAUAGUGUUGCCUUGUAGGUUUAAAGUAAAUUAUAGCUGUUCUUCAUAUUCUUCAUAGAGGAGUUUAUUUAAUUGAAUGAAAUUUUAAAAACUUAAUAUUUCCCAGUACCUAUGGUUUUCAAGUCUACUAGAUACUAAGGUAUCUGUCUUUAUGGAUUUGAUCAUUAUAUACAUUUGUAGAUAUAUUUUGUAAUUGACACCUAAUCAUUGUACACAUUAUGAAACACAGGGUGACAUUUCAAUACAUAUAUACAAUGUAAGUAAGUAUCAUUUCAAGGCAAAAAGGGAACUCUUAUACACUGCUGGUGAAAAUAAAAAUUAGUACAGUCACUAUGUAAAACAGUAUGAAGACUCUCUAAAAACUAAAAAUAAAACUACCAUAUGAUCCAGAAAUCACUCUACUGUGUAUUUAUCCAAAGUAAAGGAAAUUAGUAUUUCAAAAAGUUAUGGACCCCCGUGUUUAUUGUAGCUCUAUUCACAAUAGCUGAGAUAUGAAAUCAACAUAAAUGUCUAUCAAAGGAUACAUGGAUAAAGCAAAUGUUAUACACACAUAUGCGCGUGCGCGCACACACACACACACAUACACACACAGUUGAACACUAUUCAGCCCUGAAAAAGAAUAAAAUCCUGUAAUUCAUCGCAACAUGGAUGGAACCGGAGGACAUUAUGUAAGUGAAGUAUGAGAAGCACAGAAAGACACAAAUCACAAAUUCUCACUCAUGUGGGAGGCACAAAAGUUGUGCUCAUAGAAGUAGACUACUGGUUACUAGAGGCAGGGAAGGAGAAGGGAGAGGAUGGUUAUUGAAUACAAAAUUAGAGCUAGAUAGAAGGGGUAAGUUCUAGUAUUCUAUAGCACUGUAGGAUGACUAUCAUUAAUAAAAAUUUAUUAUAUGUUUUCAGACCGCUAGAAGAGAGGAUUUUGAAUGUUCCCAAAACAAAGAAAUAAUCAUUGCUAUUACUAUUUUUACUACAAAUUAGUGCAAUUAUCUUUAGUAAUAAUAUUAAGGAGUAACAAGGAGAAGAAUCAGAAGGUGAAAGAAGAGGAUAAAAGAUUUAUUUUAAAUAUUUUUCAUUUUGAAAAAAAUUUAUUUUCUUUGUAAUCCAAGAGUUUAUUUGAGAAAGGAUUCUAAAUAAUAUCAAAGGCAUUUAUAUUUAUUUUACUUUCAUAUGACUUUUGUAAUUUAUUUUAAAUUUUGCUCAACUUUAUGUAACUUCUCCCUUAUAAGUUUCUGAUAUAUGGAAGUAUUUGGAGACAUAGGACAAAGGUGUAAAACCAAAUAAAAGUAUAAAAUAGAUAUUAUGUACUGUGCUCAAACACAUACAUAACAGCAUUCAAACACACACACACCUGCAAUUUGAUUGUCUUAGUUAGACAUCCCCUUUUAUCCUUCAUAUUCUGCUUGCUAUUUAGUAUUGAAAGACUCAGGGAAGUCUCUACACUUAAAAGAUCUUGAUUUUUAAUGACAGGAGAGAGUAAAUAAGAAUAUGGAAAUGGGAAGAUAAUCAUAUUUGGGUGACUUCUAUCUCUACAUUUAUAUUCCUUCUGAGUAAUGAGAUAACUUCCUCAUGUCAAAGUUUUAUGUCCUUAUAGAUACAAUUUUUAAAUAUUAUUUUUGUAAAUUUUUAUCAUUAUUAUGCUCUUUCUCAUGCACUAACUCACUUGAUUCUCGUAAAAAAACUUGAAUUGAUUGGUAUAUUUUCCAAAUUUUGCAGAUUAAAAAAGUAAGACUCAAAAACUUAAGUAAAUUUCCUGAAAUUAUAUGUCUAAUGACUAUGGUUGGAGCUGGAUCGCAAAGUCAGAUCUGGCCUCAUUUUGCAAACAUAUUCUACACAGAAUAAAAAUUGUAGAUAACCGUUGUGUUUAGAAUUCACAAAGUCAACAAUUUCUGGUUUCUGCCUAUCAAAAUUCGAAGAAAUUCCAGUUUUUUUAGAGUCUCUCCCAAUCCUGAUAUGUCCACAAAUCUGGAACUAUAAUUUUGUUGAGAAUAUUUUCCAUGAAAAUUGCAUACAUAAUACAGUGAUUAAAAAUUAAUUUACUAAAUGUUUUCCACUAAUGAAUUCAGUUCAUUGGAAAGUGCAAACACGAAUGACACAGGCAAUUUUUCUAUUAUCUUUAUAUUGUAUUAUUUAUUCACCAUGGCCGUAUUUUCAUGAUAUUUAGAAUUCUUACGUUGAGUUGACAGACAGUACUAAGAGAUUCAGCUAACUUAACCCUUGCCUUUUUAUAAGUUAUAGACAUAUUGUUAUCAAUAUAUGAUCAGACAGAAUAUAGAGGGGCAUAUAAGUGACAAACCAAGGAUUAUAUAAUCAUUUACCCUAUGCAAUAUAACUGUCUGACAUAUGUACAUACACAUAAAAUAUACAUAGUUAUAUGUUUAAUAUACACAAUUUCCACUUAAUCUUUGGAAAACUGAGAGCUAGCUCUUUGCUAUUUCAACUUCUUACUUUCUUUACUUGAAAACUUGAAGUUUUAUUCCCUUUGGAAAAUUAAUUAGAGAAAAAUAACUUAAAAACCCACUUAAGUUGUCUCUAUUUUAUUGUUAGUUGGAUUCAGAAAAUAAUAUAUU